AAAUAAUUUUUAGUGCAUUCAAUCGAGCAUGUAAUGAAAUCCUUAAAUUAAACAACAACUUGCCCAAUGAUAAAUUAGUAAUUAUUGCAUUUAGAAAUGAAGCAUAAAGUUAUGCAUGCGUGAUUUGGAUUUCAUCAAAUUUAUUUGGAUUUUCUUAAAUAUGCUCUUGUCCACGGGCUGCUCGGCUGCGGCUAUUUGGGCCUGCCUGCAGCCGAGCAGCUGGGCUCCGCAGCCACAACGAGCAGGCCACUAGGACCGCAACCCAACUAACGUAACUAACCAGGCCUGCCCAACGCCGGCCUAAGCCAGCCCGCUACCCCAGCCUCAGCCUACGCGAAACAUCUGGCACCAAAGCCAACCCAACUACCCAAGAUGGACCUGGCUGGACGUGAGGGCCCGCCCAGCCCGCUUCUCUCUGUUUCUUUCUUCUCCUCCACGCAGAUCGGGCCGCCGCUCCCCUCUCCCCUAGCUAGCUUUUCCUCUCAAGGGCAAGACAUAUACGCGGAGGCGACGGCGAGCCGGGGCGGGAUUGCACCGCUGCUGCCUCGAGGGCGACCGCCCCUACGUCGUCUACCUCGACCACGUCGAGCCGAACUGCGAGGAGAGGAUGGGAGCACGCCGCCGCUUAUUCACCAAGCCCGAGCCCGCGACGACUUCACCAUCGCCCCGACGUGAGUCACCACGCCAUCUCCCUUUUCCUCUUGGAAGGAGAAUCUGUCCGGCCUUCGCGCCGCUGCCGAUUAUUAGCAGCGUCACAGCCGCACGGCCGCGCUGAGCUGAUGCCCGCCGCUGGACGAACGUGGUGGCCGCGCUCGCCUCGCCGCGCGCCAGCACACUAACACGGUCAAACGCCGCCGCGCACACGUACGGCUGCCUACUCACUACGCAGGGGUCCCGGGCCGUGCGGCAGUGACGGCCCGCUCGCGCAUGCUUCACGGCGCCUCGCCGGGAACCUCUCCUUCGCCGGGCGCGGAGGGAGCGCGCUCGCUACGGCCAGCGCAUGCGCAUGCCGCCCGCACGCGCUCGACGCGGACGGCAUCGCCGCAGGGCACACGCGUGACAGGCCCGCAGCCACACCCCGCGCACCCUCGGCAACACCGGCACGCACCCAGGCAAACACGGCAUCACCCACGCUCAUUCAUUCGAGGUGCUCUCGUGCGCCAGCCCAUUCGCGGCGAAUGCCCCUUUUAAGCAUUUCAUCAAGCACCACCGGCGCGCGCGCACGGCCACACUCAACCGUAUGCACGGAGGUAGACUAAAUUGUCAGUCCAUCACCAGGCGGUCAGGCCACAAUAUGCAAAAUGCUUGCUUUGAACAAAAUUCUUCUACAUCGUUUGACAGAAGCAAAGUCAAGCAGAAAUCUUCCAUAUGAUUGCCAUCUAUUUGUCUAGCUAACAUGUAGAUAUCUAUGAAUUAAUUUUUGGUAAAAAUUAGUUUGAGAGACAAUUUUAUACGUUCUUUCUGAUUAAUAUGUAUUUUGUUCUGAUUGCCAGUCCAUAUGUCAUGCUGUUUGUGGGUGGUCCUGCUCACAGUCCUCCUAUCUUCAUCUGGUGCUAGUUCAGCUAAGCAUACUACAAGAUCGGAAGAGGGCAACUGUCGUUAUGACCUGACGAGCAUUGCUACUCUAUCAUGCGUGCUGCCAGAUGGUGUAUGGAGGCCACCCUCACAUACAUGCUGCAACGCAUUACUGUAUGCUAUUGAUCAAGUUCCGUCUAGCGAUGUGAGGGGAGCAUGUUGUCUUUGCCGCUAUCUCAAAGAAAAAGAGGGAGCUCCUACUAAACUGGCUACAGCAUAUGUUAUGUGCAAUGGAGAGGACAAGCACAUCGUCACCGAGUGGUCGUUUCCAAUCACAACAUGUUUGAUCGACUGUGGGCAUGGAAUCAUUUCCUCCCUCGGCAUAGAGCAUGAGGAUACUCCAGUGGUACAAGCACUCGGCACUGGCAACGAGGGACAAGAGCACGUCAGUGGCAUUGGACAAGCACACGUCACUACCAAGGUCAUCACGGAGGUCGUUCAAGGCAACAGAAAAUGCAAGCGAACCCCGAUCUGGGCGCCGGCGAUCUGUUGACGUUGGCCCUUCAUCAGCAAAGCGAAAGGAGAAGAGGCUUUCAUCACCAUGAAGGGGCUUAAUCAUUUGCAUGAGAUUCACACGAUUGAUUUGGCAUCUAGUUAUAUUACUACUUGCAGCUCAUCUUGUUCGCAUAGUUACUAAGGAUCGGAAGCUUAGAGAAUUCUGAUCGUUACCGGCAUUGAAGCAUAGAACCUAUGUGAAACCUUUAUGAAGCCUCUCUAAAACUUUGGUUAUGAUAAAACUACUUCCACGCAUGUUUGGAACACUAGAAUUUUGCCACUUGCAUGAAUUGUUUGGUGUGGUCAGGUGCGUAUGCGUAAGAAUGGCAAAUUCUUAACCAAGUAAGCUUGCCGUAUAUAUUUAUAAUUGUUGUUGGUCAAAUAUUUAUUUUAACUGACUACUUAUACUCAUAUUUGAAAAACCAUAUGGACAGACUUCAUAUACUUUGCUACUAUAUUAAUCACGAAUAAUAUUUUCAUAAUAUACAUAACACUUUCAUCUUAAAGUAUUAUACUUGUAUAAAAAAUGAAAGUCAAAAGUGUCUUGGAGGCGAGAGCCGCUUCAGUAGAAGCAUGCCAAUGGUUGACCAUCGUCAAGCCUACUGCCUACUAUAGUUUAUGACCUUGACAAUUAUUCCGCAUAUAUAUAUAUAUAUA